GAACGCUGGCGGCAUGCCUUACACAUGCAAGUCGAACGGCAGCACGGGAGCAAUCCUGGUGGCGAGUGGCGAACGGGUGAGUAAUAUAUCGGGAACGUGCCCAGUCGGUGGGGGAUAACGUAGCGAAAGCUACGCUAAUACCGCAUACGAUCUAUGGAUGAAAGCGGGGGAUCGCAAGACCUCGCGCGAUUGGAGCGGCCGAUAUCAGAUUAGGUAGUUGGUGAGGUAAAGGCUCACCAAGCCGACGAUCUGUAGCUGGUCUGAGAGGACGACCAGCCACACUGGGACUGAGACACGGCCCAGACUCCUACGGGAGGCAGCAGUGGGGAAUUUUGGACAAUGGGCGCAAGCCUGAUCCAGCAAUGCCGCGUGCAGGAUGAAGGCCUUCGGGUUGUAAACUGCUUUGUACGGAACGAAACGGUGAGCUCUAAUACAGUUUGCUAAUGACGGUACCGUAAGAAUAAGCACCGGCUAACUACGUG
rnacentral:rRNA from 1 species